AGAGUUUGAUCCUGGCUCAGGAUGAACGCUAGCGACAGGCCUAACACAUGCAAGUCGAGGGGCAUCGGGGCGAGGAGCAAUCCUUGCCGCCGGCGACCGGCGCACGGGUGAGUAACGCGUAUGCGACCUGCCCGUUGCAGGGGGAUAAUCGGGAGAAAUCCCGUCUAAUACCGCGUAAUGCCGCGGGGCUGCAUGGCCCUGCGGCCAAAGGAAGCGAUUCCGGCAACGGAUGGGCAUGCGUGACAUUAGCUAGUUGGCGGGGCAACGGCCCACCAAGGCGACGAUGUCUAGGGGUUCUGAGAGGAAGGUCCCCCACACUGGUACUGAGACACGGACCAGACUCCUACGGGAGGCAGCAGUGAGGAAUAUUGGUCAAUGGGCGCGAGCCUGAACCAGCCAAGUCGCGUGAGGGAUGACGGCCCUACGGGUUGUAAACCUCUUUUGUCGGGGAGCAAAUUCCGCCACGUGUGGCGGAGUCGAGAGUACCCGAAGAAAAAGCAUCGGCUAACUCCGUGCCAGCAGCCGCGGUAAUACGGAGGAUGCGAGCGUUAUCCGGAUUUAUUGGGUUUAAAGGGUGCGUAGGCGGACUGUCAAGUCAGCGGUAAAAUACGGGGGCUCAACCUCCGCCCGCCGUUGAAACUGACGGUCUUGAGUGGGCGAGAAGUAUGCGGAAUGCGUGGUGUAGCGGUGAAAUGCAUAGAUAUCACGCAGAACUCCGAUUGCGAAGGCAGCAUACCGGCGCCCAACUGACGCUGAAGCACGAAAGCGUGGGUAUCGAACAGGAUUAGAUACCCUGGUAGUCCACGCAGUAAACGAUGAAUACUAGCUGUCCGGGGCGAAUGAGCCCUGGGUGGCACAGCGAAAGCGUUAAGUAUUCCACCUGGGGAGUACGCCGGCAACGGUGAAACUCAAAGGAAUUGACGGGGGCCCGCACAAGCGGAGGAACAUGUGGUUUAAUUCGAUGAUACGCGAGGAACCUUACCCGGGCUCAAACGACACAGGAACGUACCUGAAAGGGUUCGGCUCUACGGAGCCUGUGUCGAGGUGCUGCAUGGUUGUCGUCAGCUCGUGCCGUGAGGUGUCGGCUUAAGUGCCAUAACGAGCGCAACCCCCAUCGACAGUUGCUAACAGGUCAGGCUGAGGACUCUGUCGAGACUGCCGGCGCAAGCUGCGAGGAAGGCGGGGAUG
rnacentral:rRNA from 1 species